UGAUACAGUUUAAACUCUAGUAGCCAUUUCUACCUCAUUUAAGAGUUUACAAAUACUAUACAAUAGCAUUAACACACCAUUUAAUUGGCACCUUGGGUGGAUGACCCCUAGUACACCACUGUUUAAGGAUCACUAUAGGGUCAGUAACACAAACCUGUAUUUCUGACCCUAUAGUGUGAAAACCACCAUUUAGGCCCCUGGACCCCUCAUGCCUCCAUAAAUAUAGUAAAAAUCUUACUCUAUUCAAGCGUGAAGCUUUAACUAUGCAUGCUGUUAGACUCAGAAAAACAGACAGUCUGCUCACAUCAGAAGUGGUAGCCUGAUCCAAUCACAAUGCUUCCCCACAGGAUUGGUUGAGACUGACAAAGAGGCAGAUCAAGGGCAGAGCCAGCAUGAUUCAAACACAGCCCUGGCCAAUCAGCAUCUCCUCAGAGAUACAUUGAAUCAAUGAAUCUCUAUGUGGAAAGUUCAUGCAGAGGGAGGAGACACUGAAUGUUUGGAUGCAUUUUAGGCAGCCAUGACCCAGGAAGGAUCUCUAACAGCUGAGGAGUGGCCAGUGAUAUCACUAAACUAAUGUGAACACUGCAUUUUCUCUGAAAAGACUGUUUACAGCAAAAAGCCUGAAGGCACUGAUUAUGCUCACCAGAACAAAUUCAAUAAGCUGUAGUUCUGGUGACUAGUGUCCCUUUAACACUACUGAGGUUAUUUCCACUAUAGUUUACAGCUCUGGUGGUGUUAAUAUAAGACUUCACCCUGAAUGUAACAAAACUAAAAAUGAAUAUAUAAAAAAAAAAAAAAAGUCCCCUUGCAAUUAGGAGGCCUGUAUAAAGUGCUUGAAGGGUAGGGAAAUACUGACAUCUACUGGGCUAAUGUUUAUUUACAUUUUAAUAUAUUUCCUACACAGUUUUACAGGGUUAUUUGCUGGUAAUGAAGAGUAAAUGCGAAGUGAAUUUCCAAAUUUAUGCCAAAAUAGGCAAAAUGAGAAACCCACAGAACAGAACAAGUUAUGAAAUGACCAAUGAGAAGGGUGAUGAGAGCUUACCGAAUGCUUUGCACCAUGGCCACUUCUAAAAGCAGAAGUGGUUAUGAUGUCGGGCGUAACAUUUUUUAUCAUCUAUUUGUUUUCUCAAUACCUUCACGAUAUUGGCUAAAAUGCUUCUCUAUAAGCAGCUUUUCGUAAACUAGAAAGUUCUUGACAAAA